rnacentral:rRNA from 1 species
UACGUAGGGUCCGAGCGUUGUCCGGAAUUACUGGGCGUAAAGAGCUCGUAGGUGGUUUGUCGCGUUGUUCGUGAAAACUCACAGCUUAACUGUGGGCGUGCGGGCGAUACGGGCAGACUUGAGUACUGCAGGGGAGACUGGAAUUCCUGGUGUAGCGGUGGAAUGCGCAGAUAUCAGGAAGAACACCAAUGGCGAAGGCAGCUCUCUGGGACGGUACUGACGCUGAGACGCGAAAGCGUGGGGAGCGAACAGG